rnacentral:miRNA from 1 species
AACUAAGUUUGUUCUGAGUGUAAGCUUUCGUGUGCUUGCACACUUCUUCAGAUACCUUUUCUUAUCGACCUCACAAAGAGACUUGCGCAGGUACAGGUAUCUGAAGAAGUGUGCAUGCACACGAAAGCUUACACCCAGAACAAACUUAGGUGG